rnacentral:rRNA from 1 species
ACGGGUGCGUAACGCGUGGGAACAUACCCUUUGGUUCGGAAUAACUCAGGGAAACUUGAGCUAAUACCGGAUAAGUGCGAGAGCAGAAAGAUUUAUCGCCGAAGGAUUGGCCCGCGUCUGAUUAGCUUGUUGGUGAGGUAAUGGCUCACCAAGGCUACGAUCAGUAGCUGGUCUGAGAGGAUGAUCAGCCACACUGGGACUGAGACACGGCCCAG